rnacentral:lncRNA from 1 species
UCGUCAAGUCUUCGUCUUCGUUCUUGUGCUCCUUGAUUGCGUGUCGAAAGAUAAAAACUAAAAACCUAAAGAUUAAAGCUAAAAGGUAAAAAGAUAAAAGAUAGGUUUAAUUGUGUGCUUGUGGCUUUUAAAUAGAGUGCAAAACUAUAAUAGGGCGGGUUUCCUUGUGUAAUUAAAAUUCCUUCACUGCGCCAUCACGCCCAUCCGGACGGCCGUGUGAGAUUUUGAACUAAAAUCCGCACGGCCGUGCGGUCUUUGAUUCUCCAGAUUUCUGAUUUUUUCACUUUUGGCCCACUUUUUCUCUGAAUUUGCAGUUUUCACCCCAAAAGUUGCCAAUUCUUCAAUUUGCACCU